UUGGCCCUGACUGAAGACCAGCAGUUAAACUAUAGCUGUUAGUUUCACUCAAAUGCCCAAAGAUCUUCCUGUGAUCUGUUGACUGUUCUGGAACCUCAGCAGAGAAUGGCUAUUUCAUAUGGAACAAACAACC